UACGUAGGGGGCGAGCGUUGUCCGGAAUCAUUGGGCGUAAAGAGCGUGUAGGCGGCUCGGUAAGUCCGCUGUGAAAGUCCAGGGCUCAACCCUGGAAGGCCGGUGGAAACUGUCGGGCUAGAGUCCGGAAGAGGCGAGUGGAAUUCCUGGUGUAGCGGUGGAAUGCGCAGAUAUCAGGAGGAACACCAAUAGCGAAGGCAGCUCGCUGGGACGGUAUUGACGCUAAGGCGCGAAAGCGUGGGGAGCAAACAGG
rnacentral:rRNA from 1 species